rnacentral:misc_RNA from 1 species
AGCAGCCGCGGUAAUUCCAGCUCCAAUAGCGUAUAUUAAAGUUGUUGCAGUUAAAAAGCUCGUAGUUGAAUUUCGGGAUCAAUUAGUCGGUCGUGCCUCUGGUACGUACUGGUUUUAUUGGUUCCUCCCUUCUGACGAAACAUGAUGUCAUUAAUUUGGUGUCGUGGAGAAUCAGGACUGUUACCUUGAAAAAAUUAGAGUGUUUAUAGCAGGCUAACGCUUGAAUACAUUAGCAUGGAAUAAUGAAAUAGGACGUUCGACCCUAUUUUGUUGGUUUCUAGGAUCGACGUAAUGAUUAAUAGGGAUAGUUGGGGGCAUUAGUAUUCAAUUGUCAGAGGUGAAAUUCUUGGAUUUAUUGAAGACUAACUACUGCGAAAGCAUUUGCCAAGGAUGUUUUCAUUAAUCAAGAACGAAAGUUAGGGGAUCGAAGACGAUCAGAUACCGUCGUAGUCUUGACCAUAAACUAUGCCGACUAGGGAUCGGAUGAUGUUAAUUUUUUAAUGACUCAUUCGGCGCCUUA